rnacentral:rRNA from 1 species
UACGUAGGGUGCGAGCGUUAAUCGGAAUUACUGGGCGUAAAGCGUGCGCAGGCGGUUUUGUAAGCCAGAUGUGAAAUCCCCCGGGCUUAACCUGGGAAUGGCAUUUGGGACUGCAAGGCUGGAGUGCGGCAGAGGAGACUGGAAUUCCUGGUGUAGCAGUGAAAUGCGUAGAUAUCAGGAGGAAUACCGAUGGCGAAGGCAGGUCUCUGGGCUGACACUGACGCUCAUGCACGAAAGCGUGGGGAGCAAACAGG